AGGCAAAUCCAAUGCAGAUCGAGUGGAGAGUUGCGACUCUUCCCUACAUUUGUCUGGUCUCGGACUCGGGGCUUUCCUAGAAACAGCUUCUUUGGAAAUGGCGGACGUGGGAUAAGGAGUUGGCGUUAAGAAGAUUCUCAAGUGAUUUUCUUUUUCUGUUCCGUAUCGCAGCGAGCCUUAUCUUUUCAUCAUCAACAUUGGGAUUUUCCAUUCCAGACUUUUCUUCUCUAAUCUUAAGGAUGUACUUCAAUAUCUCAAUAGCAUAGAUAACUUCGGCAAUGACAGAUUCCAGAAAACUUAAAGAUGCAGUUCAAGUGUUCAAUUAUGCAUAAAGAGUUCAAGAUGUAAUCCCGGAACCCUUUUUUGCUGUGUCUUGCAAAUGAGCAAUUUGUAAAUGGUUUUAAUAAGACUAGUAAAAUCAUCCUUAAGAACCAUAAGCCAGUAUUGUCAUAAAUAGGGGAUCAGCCUCAUCAUCAUGCUUUCAACAAAGAUAACUGAUGCGCAUCUAAAAGUAAUUUUGACAAGACAGUAAGGUACCCUGGCUGGUAGAUCUAGAUAUGAUGUUAUCUAAUAUGAGAUGGUUAUUGUGAAUAAAAAUGAAAAUGCUUUUCUUAGCCAAUCUGCCCAUGUAACGAAUGGUUAAUACAAGUAACCAGAGCAGUUAAACAAAAUACAGGGAUAACAUGGUCAUUUUAACAUGAAUGAGUGUAGAACAAUGCUAACCUUCCCAUGUCAUCAUAGGUUGCAGCAAGGUUGCUAUAAACUCCAAGAGUCUCUACGUGACAUGAGCCACAUUCUAGUUCCAAUAUCUUUCUUGCCUCUUCAAAUCACCCAACGGCCUCAUCUAUUCUGUACAGUUGCACAUUGCACAUUUGCUAGUCUCAUCUGGUUCAAUACAAUUCCAAAAAAAAGCAGAUUUACUCUCCCCACUAGCAUGGAGAUUUGCCAUAGCACUCUCGAAAGAGUUCAAACUUCCCCAUACCUCCCAACCAGGUAAAACAUCCCACCCAUCUGUGCUUCAAUUCUGGCAAUGAUGCUUAUGU